AACCGAAUCGCUCUGGGAAACUGGUUGCGAGUUGUGGUGUAUGACUAGUCACAGAAACAGUGGUGUGCGGCGACAAGUCCGGUUGAAUCCGGCCAAUAAUCAAAGAGGGUGAAAGCCCCGUGGUGGCAAGCACACCUGUGCUUAAGGGCUAGUUUGCGAGUCGAAUUGUUUGAGAUUGCAAUUCAAACAUGUGUGGUAAACUCCACACAAAACUAGAUAUUGCGACAGCACCGAUAGCGAAGAAGUACCGUGAGGGAAAGUUGAAAAGAACUUUGAAAAGAGAGUUAAUAAGUACGCGAAACUACACACUGAAAAGCAAAUGAGUACACAUAAGGUACAAUCUGUGCAAUUCAGGUGCGACGGAGGGUUCGCAUGUACGUCCCGGCGUGCAAUGUGUGAAUUUCCGCUGUAUCGCAUCGCAUUUUGCCGAUUGACGCAUUGCUUGUCCUUGUCUUGGCUGCAAUCACAGCAACGUAUGCAGGUCGACUUUGUUGACUUCGGCAAAUUGAAAGUGGCGUUACACUUUGGUGUGCGCACGUGGGCUACAUCUCGUUUAUGCGAGUUGUUGGUCAGUUGGGACAACGAUUGCCAAACUCUGAUCCGGUGAUCUUUUGAUAGCUUCGUUCUCGCAUCACUCAUAGUUUGCUGUAGCUUCGGCCGCAGCUUUCUAUAUAGUGAUGUGUGGUGCGGGGUGUUUGUCGAUUGAUCGGAAUGAAAAGCAGGCCAUGUUGUGGCAUCAUUUGAACCGUCUUGAAACACGGGCUAAGGAGUUCAACAAAUGUGCGAGUUAUCUGGUUUGAUGAAAUCAGAGGGCAAAGUUAAAGCGAGUUGGUUUAUGAUUGUGAAAACCAUUGGCACUCGUGUCAGUGGGUCAUCACUUUUGAUGGAUGACACUUGAAGUAAUGGUUGUCGUUCGCAGUCGAGCGCAUAUGUUGAGACCCGAAAGAUGGUGAACUAUGCCUGAGUAGGAUGAAGCCGGAGGAAACUCUGGUGGAGGUCCGUAGCGUUUUUGACGUGCAAAUCAAUCGUCAGACUUGGGUAUAGGGGCGAAAGACUAAUCGAACCAUCUAGUAGCUGGUUCCCUU
rnacentral:rRNA from 1 species